rnacentral:rRNA from 1 species
UGAAUACGAGAUGCUACGGCGUCGAAGCAGUCUAUGUCAUACUUCCAAGAAAAGCUUGCACUGUCAUAAACAAAUAAUGCCUGUACCAUAACCAACACAGGUGGGUAGGUAGAGUAUACUAAGGGGCGCGAGAUAACUCUCUCUAAGGAACUCGGCAAAAUGACCCCGUAACUUCGGGAGAAGGAGUGCCUUAUUUAUAAGGUUGCAAUAACAAGAUCCAAGCAACUGUUUACCAAAAACACAGGUCUCCGCUAAGUCGUAAGACGAUGUAUGGGGGCUGACGCCUGCCCAGUGCCAGAAGGUUAAAGAAGUUGGUUAGCAUCCGCGAAGCUGAUAACUGAAGCCCUGGUGAACGGCGGCCGUAACCAUAACGGUCCUAAGGUAGCGAAAUUCCUUGUCGGGUAAGUUCCGACCCGCACGAAAGGCGUAAUGAUUUGGAUACUGUCUCGGAGAGGGGCUCGGUGAAAUAGACUUGUCUGUGAAGAUGCGGACUACCUGCACCAGGACAGAAAGACCCUAUGAAGCUUUACUGUAACCUGAAAUUGAAAUUGGACUUUACUUGCGCAGUAUAGGUGGGAGGCGUUGAGAAUAUUCUUGCGGGAUUAUUGGAGCCAUCAGUGAGAUACCACUCUUGUAAUGUUAGAUUUCUAACUUUGUAUCAUUAUUUGGUCAAAGAACAGUUUCAGGCGGGCAGUUUGACUGGGGCGGUCGCCUCCUAAACGGUAACGGAGGCGCACAAAGGUUUCCUCUGAACGGGUAGAAAUCGUAUCUAGAGUGUAAAGGCAUAAGGAAGCUUGACUGUGAGACCUACAAGUCGAGCAGGGACGAAAGUCGGUCUUAGUGAUCUGACGGUGCUGAGUGGGAAGGCCGUCACUCAACGGAUAAAAGUUACUCUAGGAUAACAGGCUGAUCUCCCCCAAGAGUUCACAUCGACGGGGAGGUUUGGCACCUCGAUGUCGGCUCAUCGCAUCCUGGGGCGGUAGUACGUCCCAAGGGUUGGGCUGUUCGCCCAUGAAAGCGGUACGCGAGCUGGGUUCAGAACGUCGUGAGACAGUUCGGUCCAUAUCCGGUGUAGGCGUUAGAAUAUUGAGAGGAGCCUUCUUUAGUACGAGAGGACCGAGAAGGACAUACCUCUGGUGUACCAGUUAUCGUGCCAACGGUAAACGCUGGGUAGCUAUGUGUGGAGUGGAUAACCGCUGAAAGCAUCUAAGUGGGAAGCCCACCUCAAGAUAAG